UUUAGAUUUAAUAUGUAUUUAUACUCUUGCUCCUUUAAGUUUUAAAUAUAUUAUGUGUUCACCUGUCUUUUGACAUAAAAAUUAUGAGUUGAAUGAAUUCACAACUGAGCAUUCAUUCAACUUAUUAAAUGAAGCGUGCUCUGUUUGAGAGUUCAGACUUCCCUUGGAUGUUUUAACAAGAAGAACAUCCUGGCGAGGUUGCUGGUCCCUGGCGAUGCUCUUUACUUAAUCUGGAAACCUUCUUCAGUGGUUAACAACACUUUAGAGUGUGAACAUACGGUAACAUCCUUUUGUCUUCGCUCCUGCAUUUGAAAACCCACGGGGGCUUUAUUACGUGGCAGCGUGGCAGCGAGUGCAUACUCGAGGAUGCAGUAGUGUGCAUAGUCGCAUACAAUCACGCGCCGAUAUCUUUGGAGAGACAGCGACCCGUGCUCAGAGACGCCCGGCCUUCUGAAGGCGAUAUCUUUUUGAAUUCCUCAGCGGACAAUAAUGACCCUACAGAGAGUUGCAUCAGGCCAUUACAGUCCUAAUGGGUCUUUGCAUCUCUACGCUGUCUGUUUAUAUGUAUGCAAACAGUCCCUGUGUGUUUGAGUGAGUCUAAUGCUCCUGUGGGGGCUCCCGGUACGUGCCUGCUCAAUGCCACAUCCACGAUGGAUGGCAGCUCAAUUGAAUAAAGGGGCUCACCACUGCACAAUACAGCCAACGUGCUGAAUUCACAAUGAGGACUGGAUUUAUACCCCCCCUAUGUGUGUCUAAAUUAGCAUUUCUAACCCCUCCGUGUAUGUGUGUGUAUGUGUGCAUUUGCUGUCAUCUCCAACUGGGACCUCUCCAUAAAUGCUACAGGCAAUAAAUCCCAAAACCCCAGAGGGAAAUAUCCGUCUUGUUACAGGGCAGUGUCCAUGCUUUAGUGGACCGCAGCCCAGAGACGGAGAGUUUGUAAAAAGAAAGCCUUGCCAGAGCUAUCAGAUGCAUCCUGCUUUUGUGAAAGCGGGUUGUUAUUGUUGUGGCAGGAGAUGGGGUUGCCUAUUCCUGGCGCAAAACGAAAGCACGGGUGAAAAGGGAGAGGCCGAUUUUUAGGCUUUGACAUGACAGAUUACGGUCAGCGUUUUUUUUUAAGGUGCUUUAAAAAAACAAAGGUGAUUCUGACAUUCUGUCAUGGAAGAACAAGUCUGCAAACUCAAGCCAUGCUCGCUUAAUAUUCAAUACAUCGAUGUUCGUGCCAAGCUGCAGUCACAGCUGACGUCUUUGUUUUCCAAAGUUUCUUUCACUGGGCUGCUAAAGAUUCGCUCCAAACUUGAGAGAGGGUUGUUCUGCAAGUGCCUCGACAACGGCGGUGGGGAGACGUCGCUAAUUCCACACCUGCCAUCAUUGUGCUCGCGAUUUCUAUGGCCUCCUCGCGCUUUCGACAACAAUAACCCCCACAUCGGGCUAAUUGCAUGCUGCAAAAGCCUCCGCUCCUCGAAACAUUUCUAUGUGUGUCUCAGAGGGCAGGAGGCUUCAUUUGACUUCACGGAAAAAGACAAAAAAAAAAAAAAACAACGUGAAUUAUCUGUAGUUAUAAUGUGUGGAUAUUAGUGAGUAUCUUCACACGCUCAAGUGACAGCUCUCGGCAUUAUUCUCACUUACAACAACUGACUGAGAGAAUGAGGGGAUCAAUUUGUCUCAGUCUCCUACUGCUGUGAAUGGAGCCCAUUUUCCUUAUCUCUUCAAAACACCACUACUCCGUGCCUGGUCUGGGCAGAGAUGCUUUCAUUAUUUGCCUAUGAAUCAGUAUUUAGGGAGGGGGGGGGGGGGGUAUGCCUUCAUCUGAGUGGUGCCAAACCCUCAAAGCUGUGUGAUACGGCAACUUGCAAUCAAAUGGCACGAGUUCGCACGUGCGCCCGUGGUAAAAAUGCAGGCGACGAAACGAGUGAACAAAAGGUUCAGGAGCAACUUGGUUAAGUGUAUCUGCACAGAGCCCCUUGGAGAGCCUCAACACACACACACACACACACACACACACACACACGCACAAUUUUACAGUGUGCAACACAGCAAAAGCAGCACUCCGAGUCAAGCCCUCCGGUCUCCCUCCUCAUCUCCUCUUCCUCGCCAACUGUUUCUCCCUCGCCGUCUCUCCAUCUGUGUCAGUGGACGCUCUUACGUCUCUCGAUAAGGCUCACGAAGAAUCAUAGGACCAUAGAAGUAAGUCACCUCUUUUUCUUCCGUCUUCCCCCCAUCUUUCCUCAGGGGUGAGCAUUGGCUAAAACUACGGCGGUGAGGCUGCGUGUCCCCGUGUGCCGUACUGUGUGUCACUUUCUCUCCCCCCCCCCCUCUCACUGUCCUCCCUACCCCUCACUCCCUGCCCGCUAUCUCGUAUGAUUGUUGCUCGUGCGCAGACUGAUGAACAACCAAUCUAUAUUCUGCGGCGAUUACAGGGGCUUUGUGAGAGUGAAGGCAAGGAGACGGUCAUGUGAAAUGUAAACGGGGAGACAUUGAUUAGUAUUCUGAACUCUGAUUCAGCGUGCGGUUUUUGCCAAUUUGUCCGUGAGUCUGUGUUUUCCGUGUCCAUGUCGGCUCCAUUACUCUGUCUGCCAGAUGAUGACUUCUGAUCACCUGCUUUCCACGACUCUCUCGACGUGUUUCGUGACCUGCACUCUUUACGAGCGCCAGGAUCUCCCACAAGUCAUUAAAGAGUGACGUCCAGAAACAAAAAGCAGCAGCAAAAUAUACCGGACGUGCGUUGCAUAUUUCAAUAAUGUCAUUCUGAGGUGUGCAUGUUUACUUCGCUUCGCUUUGUCUCACUGGCUCAGUGUCCUUCUGGAUACAAGGACAAACUAAUCCGGUUGCACUUGGCUAUGCCGCAGGAGUACGGCUUUUGCAUCUCGUUGCUUAUUUCAUUGACUUACGGUGGUGAUGGCUGGCAGAGUAAUUACAAUAGGCCACUGUGAGGUUGAAUAAUUGAUGUGCUUUUUGGCGCUGAGGCAUGCUGAAAAACCUAUCCGCCCGGAGUCCAGUCAGUAGUUUAUCACCGGGGUAAGAGAGGGGCGAGUGUGGCCUGACUGCCAAUGCUCAGUGCUGUGAUAAUGAUGCAGGUCCGGGCCCGUAAGCACCAGCAACACUGGGAGUUGGCUCCCAACUGGACUAGCCAUGCCGUGCAUCAAUACUGGAAAGAGGAAUGGUUCCAAGCAAAAGACGUUCCCAAACUAUCUGCCAUCCAUGUCCAAUGUCUCUUUGUUACUGCUUGUAAUAAACUAAACGUUUAAAAGAACGGAUAGCUUUGCUUUGGCUGCGUGGAAUUACAGGUAAGCAUUCAGGCGGGAUGAUGAAAUUGGAUUUUUCUUUUUGUUCAUACCCAAGAACAAAAUGCACACAGGUUUGUAACAGUGUGCAUUGUGAAACUGCAUUUUACAACUUCAAUGUUACAACAAUCGGGAGAGCUACAACUGUCCUCUGUCACAACUACCACACUGUAAACAGUAGAUGCAGCCGAUGCAGUUCCUGCAGCCAUAAACAGCUCACUUGGCCAGAUGAACCUUUUGUUUCCUUUGUUAUCAUUUCAGUUAAACAGGCAGACUGGAUGUGGCUCCGACAUCUGUGAACACAAAAAAUUGUCACCGAUCUGAUCUAUUGUUGCAUCACUUUGUGAUUUCCUGAAUUUUCUCAGAAUGUUUACCAGAAAAAUAGUUGUCUCAGAGGGUGUGUGUGUGUGUGUGUGUGUGUGUGUGUGUGUGUGUAUUGGUGGAUUCUUCUGGGCUUCUGGCAUCCCUAUUUUAGUUAUUCCUAUAAAUAAAUGGAUACAACACUGCACUUAGGAACGGGGUACAUUUGUAGAGUAUAGAUCAUAAAUGGCAUCCCCCCUCGUAUGAUAGUAAGAUGUAAAGCACUUCAGAAAGCCACAUUGAUUGUAUUCCAUAUCACACUGUGCCAGACACAAGUUGUGCUGCCGUCCACAGAGAUUUCUUCUCUUUUUCACUCAAAUAAUCCCUUUUCUGCUUUGUUACCAAGGCUUGGCUCAGACUCUUGGUCAGUCUGCCGCUUUCUAUGUCUGGCUUUCCUUCCCUUACUCUAUCUUACUCGCAUAGCAUCCAUUAUGUACUGGCCAGAAAUUAAAGAACACAAACACAGUAAGUAUAAUAAAGGUGUAUUGGUUAAAUAUAUAUUUAUCAUUAUACUGUCUGAAUGCAUGUUCCUUUUAAGCCUCGUAACAACGUUGAUGGGCGAAUGUUAUGAGGAACAACAGGAUUUAUUUAGCAUAAAAUAAAACGUGACAAAGUGACAUCAAAGAUUCAAGAUAUUUUGUGAGACAAACGUAGAAACACUUGAUCCUUUGCUGGCUUGUACAUUCAUUAUGAGGUCAUAAAUAGACAGCACCACGUCGGGUCCAACCUGCCAAACCUGGGGGAUAUUUUCCAGCCUUCAGUGAGAGACGAUCGCAGCAGAUCGGAUCAAUAAAUAGUUACUAAAAUGACAAGAGAGGGGUGAAUGUGAUUCAUGCUAAAACAAUGGGUCCUCGAUUGGGGAAAACACCCUCUUGCCCUUGUUGGACACAGGCUGUUGCAGACUAUUUAUUCUUGAAGUCAUAGAGAGGAUCCAAUUCCAAACAGUGUGUUCAUAUUUCCUGGGACUCUUGAGCCCAGACCGGUCUCCUUGUACAACAAACUCUAACAUGCCACAUCACAUUUGGCCUUGAUUUGAUGCAAAGAAAGCCCAGAACCACAUGCUCCUUCCUCCCACAACUGGAGAUGAAGCUUAAAUGGGCUAAAAGUGUCCUCAUUUGGUUUGGUUGAAAAGGAUAAAAAAGCUGUGCAUAUUCAUGGGAGCCGAACAUUUGAAUUCAUUUACAAUGCAAAUUAUAAACAAGCACAACUUCAUUCAGAGGAAUGCUCAUUUAAUAUGUGGCAAACUUCAACUUAUUAUCCCCCCAUCGCUUUGCUUUUUCUCCAAAACACAUCAAGCAAGGUCUCUGGCUGACAACAGGGUCUAUUUCAACAAGCCGUGCUCGUUCCUAGCUGUACAAAGAAAAGAAAAUUGUAUCUCAUCCCCUUCUCAUCAACACAAAGAUGAGGUUGGAAGGUCUCUUCUGCCUCAUCUUUCAUCUGAUAAAAGUACCGGCAACAAGGAUCUUUUUUUUUUAACAACAUCCUCUUAAUACAUUUUUUGAUACGCUCUUUUGAAAAUCCCCCUGCCGCAAUCAUACGCUGAUAGAUAUCCUCUGGAAGGCGAGCAGUGAGAUAAUGCACCAGCAAGGAACACAGUUCUUUACCAGAGCAAGAGAGACACCAGAGAUGGGCAGAAAAUCUUUAUUUUGCUUUUCAACCUUUUGAACCUAAACUGCCGAUCACGAUCGGACAUUGAACUUCUUGCCUGAGUUUACGAACCAACUUGAAUCGUGCAUCAGAGUCCUUUUGAUGAAUUUUCUGUUUUGGUAUUUUCUCUCCCCGGACAAAUAGUAACUACAAACCAUUUCCCUCUCUCUACACUGCAGACCUUUGAUCACACAUAGUUCACUGAGACGGGACUCCUAUUAACACACCUCUGAAACAGCCUGGUCCAAAAUAGGUGGCUGUUAGCAAAUUACCUGUGUAAUAGAUAGUGUGGGCAACGCCACGCUGUCAUUGCAGGCUUACUGCUAAAGGCCACAGGAAGCGCAGCGUUGAGUGUGAAGUCGUUCUGGGGAUCAGCUGCUCUCAUGAAAGCUGCAGAUGGAACAUUGAACUGCGCUGCAGAGACCUUGAGAGACAUGCAGGUGAAAAACUCGUCCGGUGUGCUUUGUGGUGUGUAGUGCGAAUGUAGUAUUCAUCCAGUCAAACAUCAGAGCAGAGAUCAGCACUUAAGGAACGUUACAUCUUGACUCUGUUUACAGCAGUAAAAGAAGCCUGUUACAACAUUUGAAUUAGCUUGAAUAUAAAAUGGCAACAGGCAGGUAGGAAUUCAAUACUGGACCAGGGCUUGUAAUUAAUGUCGUUGCAAGAGGUAAAAGCCACACAUCUUGAGGUGUAUAAUGGGGAGUGGUUUAGCACAGCAUCCAGGUCAGCUACUCGUAUAUUAAAAAGCCAGGACGGAUACAUUUAUUAGCAUGUUUAACAUCUCCAUUCUUGUGUAAAAAAAAAUGUCAUGAAACAUUCAAGGGCCGUCUGCUGUGUAUGUGUUACAUUAUUUACGUGGCACACUGCAGCAUCGGCCUUUUACGGCAAUGGCUCACUUUCAUUUUGAACUUAGGAUUGUUUUUGGUUAUUGAACAAGCAAACUAAGCCACUGUCAACUAAUCUGUUAAUGUACCCGGCGGUUCGAAGAGGACCAGGACCUGUUGACUUGACAAGAUCUGUUGGAACUGGUGCUUAGCCAAGAAAACCAAAACAAUAAAAGUGAAAAGAGAAACGUUUUUUCUCAUAAAUUUGUCGCCGGGCACAAGAUUCUCAUGCCCGAGAUAAUAAUAAUCUUCUAAAGUUCUGUUGGUGUGCAAACGUUAUUUGUAGAUAGAGUUGCAAAGGGGCGGAAAGUUUCUAGUAAAUUUCUGGAAACCUUUCAUGGGAAUUUUGUCUGCCAGAAACAUUAACAUAAAACUUGUUCUUUUUUAACAAUUUAUUUCUUUAUUUAUAUAAUUAUUGAUUACUUGGUAAACUGAAACCACGUUCAUUUUAACACCAAUUUUAACUGUAUUUAUACAGUAGGCUAACCUUUUGCAGCAAUGAAAGAAUUAAGUCACAAAUAGAAUAAGUCAAAAAUGUUAUUUUUAAUAUUUGUACUAUAAAUGUUUGCAUGCAUGUCUGCUUAUGACAAAACUAAAUGUUGUUUUGUCAUAUAUGACAAGGUAAAUACAGAUAAAUUACCCAAAUAUUUCCAGUUUAUUCUCAUUAAUGUCCAUAUAUUCCCAUGAAAAGUUUCCAACUUUGAAUAUUGUUAUAAUUAUAAUAUAUAUAAUUAAGGGAAUUGUUUUAAAUGACUGUCGCUCUAAAUGCAUGAUCGCUCUGUAAAUUGCAUUCCUUUUAAAGAAAGAUAUCAAAAACAUAAGGUGUAAUGGCAUAUUUUGAAAAUACAGGAAGUAAAACUGUGUUUUAUUUUCUCUCACAAACCUUUUAUGGCUCUAAAAAUCAAUUCUACAUUAUUUUUUGGCGAGCUCGUUUGACAAAACCACAGGCGAACUAAUAGCAAAGUGAGUUGAUGGAAGUUUCCUGAGGUCCAUUGGAAGCAGGUCAAUAGUAAAUCAAAUCGUGCUGGCUGAUACGAUGACCAGCUGAGAGCUGAGACGCCAGCGGCCCUGAGGUGGGUGGGGACAACGGGGACAGCAGAGGAAAGUCGAAGGCAGGAAGGGAGGCCCCGGGCGCAGGCCCACAUCUUAUCUGCUGCUGCCACUCAGUAGACACACAGCUGUGAUCCAGAUGCAGGUUAUUGGGAGCACAGAGGGCGACUCUCAGUCACCUCACAGAACGUGAUUCAAAACACGGCUCACAGAAACAAGAAUCUGGACUUGAUUCAUGUAUCGUGUGUCCAGUUUGUUCUCUAUGUCUAAACAUGCAAUUUAUACUUUAAUUUGUUGGUAUUCUCACAAAUGUGAGUUUAUUAGCGAGGGUUCCUUAAUCAGAGAAAUGAAACAGUGACUCAGUAUCUGAUAUUUCACUCUACAAUGAUCAAGGAGUCAGUGAGGGUGAGCACAGCUUUGAGUAGGGAUCCAACAUCUCAUUCAAGGACCCUUCAGCUCGACAGAUGUUUAAAUGUCUUUAUUUUUCUAGCACCGCCCCGAUACCUGCCAACACCACCGGUGUACCCCUGAGCAGUGUGCGCCUGCGUGCUCGUCCUCACACACACACACACACACACACACACACACACAUUUCAAUCUGCAUUAUUGCAGAGGGGAGUGGAUUUGUGCAGUUUAUUCAAUAUUGCCUGGAAUACCACUGCUUUAAGCCACCUGGGUAAACAGGUUAUUGCCAUAUCAAUCAUUUACAGCGACAUCCAACGGCCGAGACCACAGACACUAUUGACCAACACACUGACAGAGAUUAAUGCUGCUGCACAUAAACAGGCCCGUCCAGCGCCUCCUCCACCUAUCCGUCUCUCCAGGCUCCGUUCAUUUAUUUUCUCUUCUGUUCUCCCAAUCAUCUUUUUCUCUUCUGUCUCAUUUUCCACUUUCUCUGUUAUUUUUAGUUUCAAUUUUCUUUCCUCUUCAAACAAGAACACAAACAAAUCCCCUUAUGUGAGCCGUAACUUCAGCCUGACCUUUAAAGCCGUAUUAAGUUGGAUUAUAUUAAGCAAUAACCAAAACAAAUAGAGGCACGUAAUGGCUAUAAUUAUUAAUGAUUAACUCCUGUUGGAACUAGCUCUUGUGGGAGAAUCAUUUUAUUCAGAGUGAAAGGCCCAGCCGGGUCACAAGUUAUUGAACUGAGAAUCUUAAAUUCAGGAUGCAAAAAAGGUACUGCAGCCUGUUCAGCUCACAUUCAUGUUCGCGUACAGGCACAUACAUCAGAACCGCGCUUGUAACGCAGACAUAUUUGUCAUGAAAUAGCAUUGCCGUUCUGGUCACCAAGCCUGAUAGCACUAGCAUGAGCAUGAUACAUCCGCGCUCAAUGCUGAGAGUUGCUGC
ensembl:lncRNA